rnacentral:RNase_P_RNA from 1 species
UGAGAGGCUAAAAUGUCUGCCUGUUUGUAAAGACAGGAGGAAAGUCCGAACACCAUAGAGCAGGAUACUUCCUAACGGGAAGCUUUAGUGAUGAAGAGCUAGCUCCACAGAAAAGAACCGCCUUAUGUUUCGAUGUAAGGUAAGGGUGAAAAGGUAGUGUAAGAGACUACCGGCUGAAAUGGUGACAUAUCAGGCCGGGAAAGCCUUAUCCGGUGCAAUGCCAAAUAGGGAAACUUUUACGCUUGCGUAACUCAAGUUGCUCGCUUGAGAUAGUUUUCGGGUAGGCAGCUAAAACCGUUCUGUAUAGGGUUCAAUUGAACAUAGCAAUAUACGGUUUAGAGGAAUAGACAUUGUUUUGCUUAUUAUGCAAAAAACAGAAUUCGGCUUAAUAGCCUCUCAAUCU